UACGUAGGGUGCUAGCGUUGUUCGGAAUCAUUGGGCGUAAAGCGCGUGUAGGCUGUUAAUUAAGUCGGUUGUGAAAUCCCUGGGCUCAACCGAGGAAGUGCAUCCGAAACUAAUUAGCUAGAAGAUGGUAGAGGAAGGUGGAAUUCCAAGUGUAGAGGUGAAAUUCGUAGAUAUUUGGAGGAAUACCGGUGGCGAAGGCGGCCUUCUGGGCCAUUCUUGACGCUGAGACGCGAAAGCGUGGGUAGCAAACAGG
rnacentral:rRNA from 1 species